rnacentral:rRNA from 1 species
AACGAACGCUGGCGGCAUGCCUAACACAUGCAAGUCGAACGAUACCUUCGGGUCUAGUGGCGCACGGGUGCGUAACGCGUGGGAACCUGCCCUUAGGUUCGGAAUAACUCCCCGAAAGGGGUGCUAAUACCGGAUAAUGUCUUCGGACCAAAGAUUUAUCGCCUUUGGAUGGGCCCGCGUUGGAUUAGCUAGUUGGUAGGGUAAAAGCCUACCAAGGCGACGAUCCGUAGCUGGUCUGAGAGGAUGAUCAGCCACACUGGGACUGAGACACGGCCCAGACUCCUACGGGAGGCAGCAGUGGAGAAUAAUGGACAAUGGGCGAAAGACUGAUCCAGCAAUGCCGCGUGAGUGAUGAAGGCCUUAGGGUUGUAAAGCUCUUUUACCCGGGAUGAUAAUGACAGUACCGGGAGAAUAAGCUCCGGCUAACUACGUG